rnacentral:rRNA from 1 species
CCUACGGGAGGCAGCAGUAGGGAAUAUUGGGCAAUGGAGGAAACUCUGACCCAGCCAUGCCGCGUGCAGGAUGACGGCCCUCUGGGUUGUAAACUGCUUUUAUACGGGAAGAAAAAAUGCUACGUGUAGCACAUUGACGGUACCGUAAGAAUAAGGAUCGGCUAACUCCGUGCCAGCAGCCGCGGUAAUACGGAGGAUCCAAGCGUUGUCCGGAUUUAUUGGGUUUAAAGGGUGCGUAGGCGGAUCUUUAAGUCAGUGGUGAAAGCCUGCAGCUCAACUGUAGAACAGCCAUUGAAACUGAAGAUCUUGAAUAUGGUUAAAGUAGGCGGAAUGUAUCAUGUAGCGGUGAAAUGCUUAGAUAUGAUACAGAACACCGAUAGCGAAGGCAGCUUGCUGAACCAUUAUUGACGCUGAGGCACGAAAGCGUGGGGAGCAAACAGGAUUAGAUACCCUGGUAGUCCACGCCCUAAACGUUGAUUACUCGUUGUUGGCGAUAUACUGUCAGCGACUAAGCUAAAGCGUUAAGUAAUCCACCUGGGAAGUACGACCGCAAGGUUGAAACUCAAAGGAAUUGACGGCUGAGACGAGACGAGACGACGACGAGGGAGGAGG